GAGUUUGAUCGUGGCUCAGGAUGAACGCUAGCGGCAGGCUUAACACAUGCAAGUCGAGGGGUAUAGGUUUUCGGACCUAGAGACCGGCGCACGGGUGCGUAACGCGUAUGCAAUCUACCUUUCACAGAGGGAUAGCCCAGAGAAAUUUGGAUUAAUACCUCAUAGUAUUACGGAAUGGCAUCAUUUUGUAAUUAAAGUCACAACGGUGAAAGAUGAGCAUGCGUCCCAUUAGCUAGAUGGUAAGGUAACGGCUUACCAUGGCAACGAUGGGUAGGGGUCCUGAGAGGGAGAUCCCCCACACUGGUACUGAGACACGGACCAGACUCCUACGGGAGGCAGCAGUGAGGAAUAUUGGUCAAUGGACGCAAGUCUGAACCAGCCAUGCCGCGUGCAGGAUGACGGUCCUAUGGAUUGUAAACUGCUUUUGACGGGAAGAAACACUCCUACGUGUAGGAACUUGACGGUACCGUAAGAAUAAGGAUCGGCUAACUCCGUGCCAGCAGCCGCCGCCGUAAU
rnacentral:rRNA from 1 species